UACGGAGGGUGCAAGCGUUAUCCGGAUUUACUGGGUUUAAAGGGUGUGUAGGCGGACUAUUAAGUCAGUGGUGAAAUCCCGAGGCUCAACCUCGGAACUGCCUUUGAUACUAUUAGUCUUGAAUGUUGUUGAGGUGGGCGGAACGGGUCAUGUAGCCGUGAAAUGCAUAGAUAUGACCCGGAACACCGAUUGCGAAGGCAGCCCGCUAAGCAACUAUUGACGCUGAGGCACGAAAGCGUGGGGAUCAAACAGG
rnacentral:rRNA from 1 species